AAACUAACAGAUUUACUUCGGUAAUGACGUUAGGAAAGCGAGCGGCGGAUGGGUGAGUAACACGUGGGGAACCUGCCCCAUAGUCUGGGAUACCACUUGGAAACAGGUGCUAAUACCGGAUAAGAAAGCAGAUCGCAUGAUCAGCUUUUAAAAGGCGGCGUAAGCUGUCGCUAUGGGAUGGCCCCGCGGUGCAUUAGCUAGUUGGUAAGGUAAAGGCUUGCCAAGGCGAUGAUGCAUAGCCGAGUUGAGAGACUGAUCGGCCACAUUGGGACUGAGACACGGCCCAAACUCCUACGGGAGGCAGCAGUAGGGAAUCUUCCACAAUGGACGCAAGUCUGAUGGAGCAACGCCGCGUGAGUGAAGAAGGUUUUCGGAUCGUAAAGCUCUGUUGUUGGUGAA
rnacentral:rRNA from 1 species